rnacentral:rRNA from 1 species
GUCAAUAGCCUAACGGCUGAACCAGCAACUUGGAGGAAUGUAUAGCAAUAGCUGAUUGCAGCAACAAACAGUUGCUGCAAGAUCGACGAUGUCGAAUAAAAUUCUAGGUAGAAUUAUGAUAAUGACAUUGUCUACCUAUGUGUCUUGACCAAAUUACGUGCCAGCAGUCGCGGUAAUACGUAGAAGACUAGUGUUAUUCAUCUUUAAUUGGUUUAAAGGGUACCUAGACGGCAAAUCAAGCCUUAAGGAGGGACUAAUUUGCUAGAGUUACUUAUGAGGGGGUUUAAAAGUACUGCUGGUGUAGAGAUGAAAUUCUAUCAUACCUCGGUUUCUAUUGAGACAACAUGGCACAGGUAUAGGCGAAAGCAUCCCCUUAUGUGAUAACUGACGUUGAAGGACGAAGGCUUUGUGUCGCGAACAGGAUUAGAUACCCCAGUAGUCAAAGCAGAAAAUGAUGAAUGUCAUAGGUUAGAUAUUAUUUAUCCUAUAAAUGAAAGUGUAAGCAUUCCACCUCAAGAGUAAUUUGGCAACAUUGGAACUGAAAUCAUUAGACCGUUUCUGAAACCAGUAGUGAAGUAUGUUGUUUAAUUAGAUGAUCCGCAAAAAACCUUACCACAAUCUGAAUAUUUAUAUCUCUUCUUUUCUCUUUUUUUAUCUUUUUUUCCUUCUUUAUUUAUCCUUGAUAAAUAAAAGAGAAAAAGAAAAAAAGAUAAAAAAUAAGAGAAGAAAAUGUAUUUACAAGCCGUUGCACGGCUGUCUUCAGUUAAUGUCGUGAGACUAUGGUUAGUUCCAUUAAAUUAACGUAAACCCUUACUUUAUUUUUAUAUAGAGUUGUUCCCCGCUAGAUUGGAUAUGAUAACAGGGACUAGGACAAGUCAUCAUGGCCUA